GUGGGAUCCUAUGGAGUAGAAGAUCGUGUGCAGUCGCAAUAUUAUUUUUUUGGAGGAUCGAUGAUCGACGACUUUAAGAAGCCUAAUAAGCCAAAGUCGACCCCAAGCAGCCUUGUAGACUUGUGCCCAGAUACUUCUUUGAGAAGUCUUGAUGAUGGAAAAAGAACUAUGGAUGAUAGUACAGAUAAUAGUCACGAGACUAAAG
rnacentral:lncRNA from 1 species